AUUGAACGCUGGCGGCAUGCUUUACACAUGCAAGUCGAACGGCAGCACGGGUGCUUGCACCUGGUGGCGAGUGGCGAACGGGUGAGUAAUGCAUCGGAACGUGCCCAUGAGUGGGGGAUAGCCCGGCGAAAGCCGGAUUAAUACCGCAUACGCCCUUAGGGGGGAAAGCGGGGGAUCUUCGGACCUCGCGCUAUUGGAGCGGCCGAUGUCGGAUUAGCUAGUAGGUGAGGUAAAGGCUCACCUAGGCGACGAUCCGUAGCUGGUCUGAGAGGAUGAUCAGCCACACUGGGACUGAGACACGGCCCAGACUCCUACGGGAGGCAGCAGUGGGGAAUUUUGGACAAUGGGCGCAAGCCUGAUCCAGCCAUGCCGCGUGAGUGAAGAAGGCCUGGUUGUAAGACUCUUUCAGUGGUAAGAAAGUAAGACGCUGUUAA
rnacentral:rRNA from 1 species